UUUAAGCAGGGAUUCAUGGGGCCUAGAAGGAAGAAAAAGGGAGAGGAGAGAAAGUGAAUGAGUUUCCUUUCCUUUUGUAAGGUGUAGGGAAUGCCCUCAUUGAAAGGCAGAGGCUAUGCCAGGCUCCAGCUGCCCACAAUUUCAUUGGCAUAUGAGGCAGCAUCAAGAUAUUCUCUUCAUGCUGGUGAUCAGAUCUGCCUGGAGGAUGCACAGUAGAAAUAGUGAUGGAGUAAUAUGAAUGAGGGGUGCAAAUCACUGUACCAGGGCACCUGAUUCCAGCUUUAUGCAGAGAAUGGAGUGAAAUCUACACUUCUUAAAGUUUCCCCAACAAAGACCUUCCCGAAAAUAGAAAGUAAACGGCUUUGGAGGCUUCAUAAGUAAAUGAAUAUUCAUAGGAAGAUGUAUACAGAAAAGAAAAUCCCUGGGCCGGAUCAGACUCAUGGCUGUCUUGCUCUUCUUCCCAAGUUGGUUCUGGAAUUCAGGGGGAAAUAAGAAUAUUUCCCUCUCCCAGCUGCUGUGGCUACUGCAGUCCAACCCUCCCUCCUAGACAGGUUACUGUCAACCUCUUCAUAGAGUUCCUAAAGAAAACAACAGCUGGCUCAUCUGGCAAGACCUUCAGAACCAGUGUCUUCGUUCGUAAUGUUUCCAUUUCUUCUCCCCUCCCCUAAUGUUUCCAUGUUUCCUGAUCUGGAAAUUCUAAUAAAAUGCCUGGACAUGGAGAAAACCAACAUGUUGAAA